UGUCAGGGAAAGCAGUGGAUUUCAGGGACUGAUCGCCACUGACUGGCCAGAAUGUAAAAAUGUAGGAACCUAUAAUAAAUUCUAUGGGGCAAGCAGCAGCAGGGCAACCCCUAUGACAGGUCACAUCAAAAAAAAAGGAAAAUAGCAGUACAGAUGUGAAGAUACUGAAAGGAAUGAGGUGCUGCUGUGAUCUGAACUUUAAAAUGAAGGCUAUAAAUUAUGCUGAAAAAACAAAUAACUGUAGGGUAGGCAAGAAGUUGCUGAAGUAAAUUUGAAUCAGUGGAGACAAUUAAUAGGAAAAUUCAAGAUUGUGACACUCAAAUUGUUCAGUGGGCCAAAAAGGGUGGCUUUUCUGAAAUUGAUAAAUGUUCUUACCAUAUUCUUAAAUAUGUUCAAGAAAAGAGAAAUAAUUACCCACAAAGUACUUAGACUUAAGACAUUAGAAAAUGUGAUGGAAUUAAACAUUCGGCAGCAAAAAUUCAAGGCAAGCAAUGGGUGGCGCAACAUGGUGGCUUAGUCCUGAGAUGAAGAAUAUCACUUGCACAAAAGUUACAAGAAGCUUGCAAUGAAAAAUGUGUUGAAUUUCAGUUAUAUCUUAUUGGUCUAUGCAAGACUCAUGAUUAUCCAUUGGGCCAUAUAGGUAAUGUUGAUGAGACUCCACUGUAUUUCAACAUGCUGAGCAAUGUUAAUGUCAAUGAGAGAGGUGCAAACUCCAUAAUUCUGAGAAAUACAGGAAACGAAAAUUUGCAAAUUACAGCAAUGUUAGCAGUAUUGGCAGAUGGUAGAAAAUUGCCACCCUAUGUGAUUUUGAAAUGGAAAACUGCCACAAAAAAAAAAAGUUGCCACCAGGAAUAGUGGUUAGGUGCCAGGACCAAGGAUGGAUGUCAAGUGAACUGAUGAAUGACCGGCUAGAUGUUGGGUGAAACAAGAGACCUGAGGCACUGCUAAAGAAAAAAAAGGAUUGUUACCAUUAAAUUCAUUCAAAAGGCGUUUAACACCAGCCAUAAAAGCAAAAAACCAGUUAAUGAAUUGUAAUCUUGUAGUCAUACCUGCUGGUAUGACAUCUAAAUUCCAAGUACUGGAUGUUGUAGUGAAUAAGUCCUUUAAGCACCAUUUAUGGUGUCAGUAUUGAGACUGGCUCUUGGCAGGGAAACAUGAGCCUGCACCUGGUGGGAAGAUUUAGAAGCCAGCCAUAGCACCACUUUGCCAAAAGAUUCUGACUUCUUAGAGAAGGGAUAUCUUCAGAGUGCACUGGUAAAUGCUUCAAGUAAUGUGGUAUAUCCAAUGCCAUGGAUGGAACUGAAGAUGUUUUGUGGUAUGCAGAAAAAGAUGAGAGCAGUGAAGAGAGUGAAGAGAGCAAUGAGGACACUGAGAGUAAGGGUGCAUGUGAAAGUGGCCAGUCUUAAGUUGUAGGAUCUAAGAAAGGUGUAAGACUUUUCAGGAUUUUCUGGACAGACCAGUAUAGAUCUUUGUUGAAUUUAUGGCUUAGUUUUUGUCAGAAAGCUGUUUAUAAAAAUAAUAGCAAGUAUUAAUAAUAGUAAGUAUUUCCAUAGGUGGAAUCUAAUUAUUGGGGUAUCAUCUUAAAUUCAAGGUUUUCUUGGAUUCAGGCAAAUAUGAUACCUUGUUUUCACUGUAAGCUGCCCCGAGACUUUUCUGGAGGAGGAUAGCAUAUAAAUCAAGUAAAUAUACACAUACGUCAGUCACUAAAUGGUAAUACUUCAGUCACUAUUUCUUACCAGUUACAAAAAUGUUGACUUAGGCAAACACUUUUGAAUACGGCUUUUAAUUUUGGGGGCCCACUUUGAAGCACCAUGACCCAAAUUUUCGGAGGUGUUAAAUACUGACACCAGUUUCAACUGGGUUACAAAGGAGUGGUAACUGCUUAGCACCUCUCAAAAUCUCAAGUGAAGCACCCCAAACCCAGGCAAAUUACAAUUUGAAGCCAUUCUUGAAAUGUUGGGCCCCAUAUGCCACAGCAUUACUUUACUAUAACUGAUUUGCUCCUUCCAUGUACUUUAGUAAACUAAACUAGACCAAAUGAAGUUCUGAAACAAAGAAGGAAAAAUAGUUCUAGUUGCUGGCUUUUUAAGAGCUGUUGAAAUAAUACCAUCUAAGCAGCACCAGGGACCGUCAAGAAGCAAAAGUGUUAUUAAUUGCUAUUACAUAUAUGUGCUAAUGCUGGUAAUCUUAAGUAACUGUUUGUGAGAAUGUUUCAGCCUGGUUGAAUCCAGAAGUACUGUGUAGAUGCAGUAACUGUCAAGGAUAUGAGCUGUGCAGCAACAAAAGCCACCUGCAUAGCUCAUGAAGGUCUGGAACCAAAGUACCGGAAAGACGAGGUUACAUGCCAAAAAACAAAAAUCAAUUUUGUAUGUUCUACAUAUGAACUGAGGCAUGAGGCCUGUAAAGAUGAAAAGCUGCUGCUAAUUUUAGGAGGAUGAAUCUAUGACUAAUGGGCCGUGUCAGUUAUAGGUUCUUUGGAUAUGUCACACUGCCUGUUUGGAACAGGAGAAGAAAUGUUUGAUUCCCAGAUGGACACACUGAAAUGCCCAUGAGCAACCAAGUUACUAUAAAAUGAUGCUGUAGCAAUGGUGAUGAAAAUAAAAUUCUAUGUUCCCAAGGCCGAGGCAGUAAUCAGCAGAUCAUCAUGUUGCCAAAGAUGACUUCAUUUGCACAUUGGCAAAUCUGAGCAGCAAAUCUGAAAUCCAGAGUCUCAGCAGCAAUUUAAUUUGAAGCUUCAGAACAGGGGAAAGCCAGCUACUGAUGUCUGCAGACUGGUUUAAUGUGCUGGCAGAGUACUGGAGUCAGAAGCUGCAAUUCGAACUGCUUCAAAGAAAUUUCUGUUUCACCAGCCCCUAAGGACCUGUCAGCUAUUAACUUAAGAGCUGGAAUGUCUUACCUCCAUAGAGAUCCAUAGAUGGUUUGCUAAGAGGAUUUUGAAAUACUUGGAAAGUUUCUUCUCUGUUAUGAAGGUGAGACAUAUGAAAUAUUAUGUUCACAUGUAUGUCUGAAAGCACAAUGGUAGAAGUUUUAUGUCAGAAAUUUUUUUUUGAAUUCUUAAUAGCUUCAAAGUGGGGAAGUCUGCGUGAGGAAAACCAGUAUUUUUACUAAAGGCUUUGCUUGAAAGUUAUUCAUAUCAUCCAUUGAAAUACUAUUUAUAAUGUUUUAUACUCUCUGUAUAUAAUGAUUCCUGAGCAUAUUAAAUGUUUAGUUUA